AUGUUAGCCAAGUACCAGAAAUUUCAAACUCCAUUUAAGCUAAUUAAGCAGUCAGCAGACCGCCAACAUAUAACUGGUUGGAGAAGGAAGGGCACAGUGCAAAAUGCAACACACCUGGUGCAGAUACCCCGAGCUGAAAGCCGUGGAGAAUUUGGUGCUUCAGAUCCUGCCCCUCUGCUCUCCCACAAGCUGCCAGCAACCAGGGAAGGCUCUGUCCAGGCCUUAGAAAGGAGAAAUCUUGGAAGACGCACUGGUUUUAUAUUGAUUUUACUUCUGAGGUGUUGCUGGCUGUUGCCCAGCUGGUGUGGUGUAUGCUGCCCAGCCCCACUGCCCCCCCUUGCCACAUUAUCACCAUGUGCAUUGUGAUGUCCUCAGUGAGGGUGAAAUGAACUCUCAGUGGCUUAAAGCAAGGUAGGUUAAUUUAAAAA
rnacentral:lncRNA from 1 species